UGCAAGUCGAGCGGGGGAGGUAGCUUGCUACUGGACCUAGCGGCGGACGGGUGAGUAAUGCUUAGGAAUCUGCCUAUUAGUGGGGGACAACAGUUGGAAACGGCUGCUAAUACCGCAUACGCCCUACGGGGGAAAGCAGGGGAUCUUCGGACCUUGCGCUAAUAGAUGAGCCUAAGUCGGAUUAGCUAGUUGGUGGGGUAAAGGCCUACCAAGGCGACGAUCUGUAGCGGGUCUGAGAGGAUGAUCCGCCACACUGGGACUGAGACACGGCCCAGACUCCUACGGGAGGCAGCAGUGGGGAAUAUUGGACAAUGGGGGCAACCCUGAUCCAGCCAUGCCGCGUGUGUGAAGAAGGCCUUUUGGUUGUAAAGCACUUUAAGCGAGGAGGAGGCUACUUAGAUUAAUACUCUAGGAUAGUGGACGUUACUCGCAGAAUAAGCACCGGCUAACUCUGUGCCAGCAGCCGCGGUAAUACAGAGGGUGCGAGCGUUAAUCGGAUUUACUGGGCGUAAAGCGUGCGUAGGCGGCUGAUUAAGUCGGAUGUGAAAUCCCUGAGCUUAACUUAGGAAUUGCAUUCGAUACUGGUCAGCUAGAGUAUGGGAGAGGAUGGUAGAAUUCCAGGUGUAGCGGUGAAAUGCGUAGAGAUCUGGAGGAAUACCGAUGGCGAAGGCAGCCAUCUGGCCUAAUACUGACGCUGAGGCACGAAAGCAUGGGGAGCAAACAGGAUUAGAUACCCUGGUAGUCCAUGCCGUAAACGAUGUCUACUAGCCGUUGGGGCCUUUGAGGCUUUAGUGGCGCA
rnacentral:rRNA from 1 species